rnacentral:rRNA from 1 species
UACGUAGGGUGCGAGCGUUAAUCGGAAUUACUGGGCGUAAAGCGUGCGCAGGCGGUUCUGAAAGUCAGCUGUGAAAGCCCCGGGCUUAACCUGGGAAUUGCGGUUGAAACUACAGGGCUAGAAUCUGGCAGAGGGGGGUGGAAUUCCACGUGUAGCAGUGAAAUGCGUAGAGAUGUGGAGGAACACCGAUGGCGAAGGCAGCCCCCUGGGCUGAGAUUGACGCUCAGGCACGAAAACGUGGGGAGCAAACAGG